rnacentral:lncRNA from 12 species
CGUGCUUCCUUGGAAAAAGGGAGAAUCGCCACGGAACCAGAGCGAGAAUGCAGAAAGCCGCGAUUUAAACGAGUAGGGACCCCUCCCCUCCCCCCUCCCCACGCCGCCAAAUAUCGGCCAUUCGGCUCCGCGAAGCUUCCCACCGAGGACGCCGGGAGCUGCCGCAGGCCCGGGGACCAAGGCUGCAGCGCCAGCUCGGGCUCCGCGGGCUCCGCGUCCCGCCCGCCGCCGCGGGGAGAGGCCGCCGGGCCCUCGGCGCCCCGCAGCGGGCGAGGGGAGCCCCGCCACCGGGUUCAGAGGCUUCCCUUCUGCCCGAGCGUCCCCGGCCUCGCCCCCGCCCUCGCCCUCCCAACUCCUCGGCAGACGCCGCCGCCUCCCUCCGGCCGCGCGGGCCCCACGCGGAGCGGCCGGAAGCAGCGUCCGGGCCCAUCGCGGGUGAAGAAACUGAGGCCCAGAAAGGUGCUAGCAGCAGUAGUGGUAAGAAAAAAUAUUUGCUUAUAUCUUUAAUAUAUACUUAAGUGGAUAUUAAAAAUGGCAGGCAAAAUUAAUCUCAGGAUAGAUACAUUAACAACAUCAAUAAUUAAUUAUUAUAUUCAGUAUAGUAAUUACAGUAAUUAUACUAAUAAUUAAAUACUGAAGAUCUAAAUGUUAUUAAGAAUAAGCAGAUUUGAAUAACUAGAUAUAUGGCCAGAGGGUUUCUUCCUUCCUACUUACUUCCAUGAAUCCUACAGACAGGGUGGCUGCUCAGAUUCCUCUUAUCCCAUGGGUAAAGAGAAACUGGAUAAUCCACUUUAUUUCUUCCAUUUUGGAAAUUCUUUGUAUGGUUUGAUAGAUGAGACAGAGACAAAAUCAAGAAGAAAAUCAAGCUUAAUCGUGCUGCCCAAGCCACUCAGAUAGCAUGUUAGCUAGCUGCAGCUUGGUUCAGGCGCCCUGGAACUUGAGGGCAUUCUGACAACACUGAUGUAUUUCCUAUGGCAUAAAGACUUAAUCUGCAGUUCAUUAUGUAUAUAAAACAUAAUACCUCUACUAGAGAGAUCCAGACUUUGGCAAGUUGUGACAACUUUAUUUAUUUAUUUUAUUUUAUUUUUUUAAAGAUUUUAUUUAUUUAUUUGAGAGAGAGAGAGAGAACAAGCAGGAGAGGGGCAGAGGGAGAAGGAGAUUCCCCGCUGAGCAGGGAGCCCAAUGUGGGACUCGAUCCCAGGACCCCGGGACCAUGACCCGAGCCAAAGGCAGAUGCUCAACCAACUGAGCCACCCAGGCGCCCCUAUAUUUAUUUAUUUAAAGCUUUUAUUUAUUUAUCCAUGAGAGACACAGAGAGAGAGGCAGAGACAUAGGCAGAGGGAAAAGCAGACUCCCUGUGGGGAGCCUGAUGUGGGACCCCGGGAUCAUGCCCUGAGCCAAAGGGAGAUGCGCAACCACCGAGCCACCCAGGCAUCCCCAUGACAACUUAUUUUUUAUGUUAACAUUUAUUGAAAACUUUCUUUGUGUCAGAUGUUGACCUAAGAGUCUUCUAUACAUUUUCUCAGUUGUUCUUCACUGUCGCCUUAUGAUGUGAGUUUUAUUUUCCCCACUUACGGAUGGGAGAAACUGAGGCUUAGGGAAGUUCUAUAAGUUUCUCACCAUUACCUAAUGAGUGGUUAGUAAAGUUAAAUUUGUAACCUGCUACAGUUAGUCCUCAUAUGUUGGAGCCUCAUAUUUUAAGAAUGAGAGAUAAAAUAUACUUUCCAUCUCAAGCUAAAAGAAAUAAAAGAAUGUGGGAAUAAUGUAAUUAAGAUUAA